ACUGUGAGUGAAAGCCCUCUUCAAUACCUUCAUUUUGGCGGUGGUUUCACUUCGAUUGACCUCCUGAAACUGAAAUGGUUCACAGAUCAAGAUCUGGUCAGAUCUGAUUUGGUCGAAUUAAAUCAGGAGCUUGGGAACGAAUUUUUGAAUGAAACAAACUGGGGGAUACUUAGUUGUGCCAUGGUGAUACCGAGAGAGGCAAUUGCUAAGUUAUGAUACUCUCAUACCUUUACUAGAUGCGAACGAUUCCGGAGAAGAAGAAGAAGUGGUUCGGACAAGGAUUUUAUUUAUAUUGACGGGAUUCUUAUAUUGAUGAAGUUGAAGAAGUCCAGGGACAAAUAAGCCAAGGCAAGCCAUCUUUUGAUCUCUGAUAUGAUGUCUCUUUGGAUGUCAUCUUGUGCUAUCAAUAGCAUCUUGGUUCUAUGUGUGAUGAUCUCCAUAUUGUUGUCAUCUAUGCUUGGAUGCAAGCAUGGUACCUCUAGUAGUUUUAUCUUGUCAAGGUCUUGGUAAUUGGUUGGGUGUAUGGUAUCAUGGCCAUUGCUAUCCAACUUGCUUUCUAUAUUUAGCUUGAAUAUGUUCCACCUCGGGACAAGAUUCAUACUACACCCCCUUCUAGUGUAGAUGUAUCAAUACCAUGUUUUUGGUGUAUUCUCAAAUUGUGAUGAGUAUGCCUGUUUUCCCUUAAUGGUGUUGGUGUUGGUCAAUUCUCAUCCCUAUCUAUCUAUUGAUUGGGUUAGAUAGCACCACAAAUCUGAAAGUAUAUUUCCUCUUGUGUUGUCAUAAUACAUGCUUAGCUCAAGCAAGUAUGAUCCACUCCAAUACCUCUUUUUCAUACCCUCAAUGGCGUGAUGAUCCUCAUCUCGGCCAUAGUGUUGUAUUAGUUCAACUCAUGAAACUUUAGAUUGGGAACCCCUCAAGGUUUACCUUGUUGUAAAUGUUUAUGAAAACCUUGGGUGAGGCAAUCUUACCCAAGCGUAUGGUUUAUGAAAGGAAAGGAUCUUGACAAAGAUGGUUGGAAAG